GAUGUUGGUUAAGUCCCGCAACGAGCGCAACCCCUGCCGUUAGUUGCCAGCGAUAAAAGUCGGGCACUCUAACGGGACUGCCGUCGUCAAGACGGAGGAAGGCGGGGAUGACGUCAAGUCCUCAUGGCCCUUAUGGUCGGGGCUACGCACGUACUACAAUGGGCGGUACAGAGCGCAGCGAGCUCGCGAGAGUAAGCGAAUCGCAGAAAACCGUCCCCAGUUCGGAUUGCAGUCUGCAACUCGGCUGCAUGAAGCCGGAAUCGCUAGUAAUCGCGGAUCAGCAUGCCGCGGUGAAUACGUUCCCGGGCCUUGUACACACCGCCCGUCACACCAUGGGAGUGGAUUGCACCAGAAGUGGGUGGACUAACCUUCGGGAGGUAGCCCCCUAAGGUGUGGUUCAUGACUGGGGUGAAGUCGUAACAAGGUAGCCGUAGGGGAACCUGCGGCUGGAUCACCU
rnacentral:rRNA from 1 species